ACAAGACGAGAAGACCCUAUGGAGCUUUAGACGCCCACCAAUCACGAAAAGCAGGUCUCGCUCAACAGACUUCCAAACAACGUGAUACUGGCACAAACGUCUUCGGUUGGGGCGACCGCGG
rnacentral:rRNA from 1 species